ACAGAGUGUAGGACACGCUGGUUUGAUCAUGAUGACCCAACAAGAAACGGAGACUACGAAGUCCUCAGUGACCUCCUAAAAAUAUACCCGAGAGAAAUCUGCCCUCGGCCAAUAGCCAUUGAGGUCCAGACCAUCUCUGGGGAACCUGCUGCCAACACCUCCGAUACUUUUUUAAAUUAUGACGCCACCUAUGGGUUUGCCUGUGUAAAUGCAGAUCAGAGGAGUGGGAGUUGUGAUGAUUACAGAGUCAGAUUUACAUGUCCAAAAGAGUUCUGUCAAGUGUCGAAGCAGUGUCGAACACAGUGGCUGAACAGUGAUGACCCGUCAGAGGAGGGCGAUGUGGAGUCCAUUCUUAAGCUACUGAAAACUUUCCCUGGUCAAGUCUGUAGAAACCCAAUCAGCAUAGAGGCCAAGACAACAGAUGGAAUAUCUGCUGAGAACACUGGAGACAACUACCUCUCCUACAAUGUUGCUUUUGGAUUUGCAUGCAUCAAUGAAAAACAGAGAAAUAACGAUGUGAGGAUUAUCAAGUGAUACUGACAUGUCCCUCCGAUUUCUGUCAGGGUUGCAGGACGCGCUGGUUCAACAAGGACGAUCCAACAAAGCGAGGGGACUAUGAGACUGUCCUCCAGCUGCAGAUGCUGUACCCCAGUCAGGUUUGCUCCCAGCCUGUGGCCAUCGAAGCCAUGACAGUGUCUGGUGUCCCUGCGCACAAGACUGGUGACGUCUUUCAAAUAUAUGAUGCAGCUCGUGGCUUUGCCUGUGUGAAUGCUGAGCAGCCAGGUGGAAGACGCUGUCAAGACUACAAGGUCCGCUUUACAUGCCCACUGGCUUUCUGCUCAGUGUGACCUCAGUGGUUCACAUCUUUUUUAGGGGACUUACUGUUGGUGCAGAAUUUGUAGUGACUGCUAGCCAAUAUGUUAUGUCAUCGACCCAUAUCAUAUUAAA